AACUAUUCCUCGCAAACGGAGAUGCUUCAUGCUUGACUUCUCACAUUAGAGUCAUAAUGUAAAUAUAAGUUAGUAUUAUGUACCUUAUUUACUUUAUAAGGUGUUUUCUAACUUACACUUUAUAUUAUAAUAUGCAGGGUAUUCGGAUCAUUCAAUUCUCAACGCAUUCAAGUUCCCAAUAAUGGGUCAACAUCCGAUGAAUUUUUGAACAUGACCUUGGAGAAUUUGAGGGAAGCAAAUGAUAAUUUUGAGAUGAGAGAAGAGUUGAACAACUCGGAUGAGAACAAUAUGAAUAUUCAUUUAGAUGAUGCACCUCUCCAGGAACAAAGGAAAAGUGCAACAAGGAAAAGCAAGAGGAAGUCGAAAUGACGUUGAAUGUUUCUUUUGUCAUUUAUAGGAUUUACAUUUUUGCAUAGUUAGAUAAAUUUAGACUUUGAUGUUUGAUAUUAGAUUUUUGAACAAUAUGUUAUUUUUCAAUUUGACAUUUACACUAAAUUUACUUUCAUAUUUUAAAAAAUUGAUAUGCUU